AAUGAACGCUGGCGGCGUGCUUUACACAUGCAAGUCGAGCGAGGCCUGGGAGCAAUCCCGGAGUCGAGCGGCGAACGGGUGAGUAACGCGUGGAUGACCUGCCCUUUAGUGGGGAACAACCAGGGGAAACUCUGGCUAAUACCGCAUACGACCGGAAGGUGAAAGCGGGGUCGCAAGAUCUCGCGCUGAAGGAGGGGUCCGCGUCCGAUUAGCUAGUUGGUGGGGUAAUGGCCUACCAAGGCGACGAUCGGUAGCCGGCCUGAGAGGGUGAUCGGCCACACUGGAACUGAGACACGGUCCAGACUCCUACGGGAGGCAGCAGUGGGGAAUUUUGCGCAAUGGGCGAAAGCCUGACGCAGCAACGCCGCGUGGAGGAUGAAGGUCUUUGGAUUGUAAACUCCUGUCAGCGGGGAAAAAGGGAGGCGACCUCAUACGU
rnacentral:rRNA from 1 species